GCACUUCCUCCUGGUCCUGCUUCCUUGGGUAGCAGUCUGAGGGACCUCCGAGGGAAAGUGCCUGGCAGUCAACCGCAGAGGAUUGUCUGAUGUGGGACGGCCACCGGUGGAUGGGCGUCGAGGUGUAUGAUGCACCUCGAGCAGCUGUUUCAUCAAGUUCAGUCUGUAUUCCUGACUGUUGACGGUGGACGAUGUGGCCAUUGAGAACAGCAGUGUCUACCAAGUGAAAGAAGACUUUCUUAUACCACUUGGUAGUCUUCCUGGCACAUUCGACAAAGCUGUUCACCAUGUCCGCCUUGUCCACAGCCCCCAUCUUCUUGUUAUAGUCAAGAACACAAGCUGGCUUGAGUUUCCUCUCCCCGGUGGCAUGAUCAAUCCUUGCCGUGGCUGACAUCACUGAUGAAUGAACAGUGGGCUGAAGGCUGGCAUCCCCUUCCGAUUUGCACGAACGGUCCCACAGGCCCCCGUUCCUCGGGAGAGGAGGUGCUGGAACAAUGUUGGACUGCUGUACCAGUUGUCAAUGUACAGGACGUGGCCCUUUUUUAGGUGGGGUGCAAGUAAGGUCAUCACGACCGAGCCAGAUAUCCCAAGUCCUGGAAAGUGGGUGAUGUCAGUGGUGGAUCCCGUGUAAAUGAUCAUGUCCUGCACGUAACCGGUCAACACAUCAAAAAGGACAAAGAAUUUGACACCAAACCUAUGCCUUUUUGAUGGGAUGUACUGCCGAAAUGCCAGCCUACCCUUCCACUUCAUUAGGGAUUCAUCGACACAGAGGUCUCUGUGUGGCACAAAAACCCUUUGGAAUGAAGUGGUGAGAGCACUAAACACAUUUCUGAUCUUGUGCAGGGGAUCAUUUACGUUAGCGCCUGCACUGUCGACAAAGUGCAAGCAACGGAGGAGAAGCAGGAAACGGUCCUGGGAAAAAAUUGUGGCGAAGAAGGGGGUCAGGAGGAUGGGAUCUGUGGUCCAGUAGUC